CAGUAGCCGCGGUAAUACGUAGGGUGCGAGCGUUAAUCGGAAUUACUGGGCGUAAAGCGUGCGCAGGCGGUUAUAUAAGACAGAUGUGAAAUCCCCGGGCUCAACCUGGGACCUGCAUUUGUGACUGUAUAGCUAGAGUACGGUAGAGGGGGAUGGAAUUCCGCGUGUAGCAGUGAAACGCGUAGAUAUGCGGAGGAACACCGAUGGCGAAGGCAAUCCCCUGGACCUGUACUGGCGCUCAUGCACGAAAGCGUGGGGAGCAAACAGGAUUAGAUACCCCAGUAGUCCCUGUCUCUUAUAA
rnacentral:rRNA from 1 species